rnacentral:rRNA from 1 species
UACGGAGGGUGCGAGCGUUAAUCGGAAUCACUGGGCGUAAAGCGUGCGUAGGCGGCGUGCCAAGUCAGGUGUGAAAGCCCUCGGCUCAACCGGGGAAUUGCACUUGAAACUGGUAUGCUAGAGUUCUGGAGGGGGUAGCGGAAUUCCCGGUGUAGGAGUGAAAUCCGUAGAUAUCGGGAGGAACACCAGUGGCGAAGGCGGCUACCUGGACAGUAACUGACGCUGAGGUACGAAAGUGUGGGGAGCAAACAGG